rnacentral:rRNA from 1 species
CCUACGGGGGACAGCAGUGAGGAAUAUUGGUCAAUGGACGGAAGUCUGAACCAGCCAUGCCGCGUGCAGGAAGACGGCCCUAUGAGUUGUAAACUGCUUUUGUACAAGGGUAAACCUGAAUACGUGUAACCAGCUGAAAGUUCUGUACGAAUAAGGAUCGGCUAACUCCGUGCCAGCAGCCGCGGUAAUAUGGAGGAUCCAAGCGUUAUCCGGAUUUAUUGGGGUUAAAGGGUGCGUAGGCGGAUUGAUAAGUUAGAGGUGAAAUGUCCGGGCUUAACUCGGGAACUGCCUCUAAUACUGUUGAGCUAGAGAGUAGAUGCGGUAGGCGGAAUGUAUGGUGUAGCGGUGAAAUGCUUAGAGAUCAUACAGAACACCGAUUGCGAAGGCAGCUUACCAAUCUAUAUCUGACGUUGAGGCACGAAAGCGUGGGGAGCAAACAGGAUUAGAUACCCUUGUAGUC